rnacentral:rRNA from 1 species
AGCAGCCGCGGUAAUUCCAGCUCCAAUAGCGUAUAUUAAAGUUGUUGCAGUUAAAAAGCUCGUAGUUGAAUUUCGGGGUUAGUAGGUUGGUCAUGCCUCUGGUAUGUACUGGUCUCACUGAUUCCUCCUUCCUGAUGAGCCGUAAUGCCAUUAAUUUGGUGUUGCGGGGAAUUUGGACUGUUACUUUGAAAAAUUAGAGUGUUUAAAGCAAGCUAACGCUUGAAUACAUUAGCAUGGAAUAAUGAAAUAGGACGUUCGAUCCUAUUUUGUUGGUUUCUAGGAUUGACGUAAUGAUUAAUAGGGAUAGUUGGGGGCAUUAGUAUUCAAUUGUCAGAGGUGAAAUUCUUGGAUUUAUGAAGACUAACUACUGCGAAAGCAUUUGCCAAGGAUGUUUUCAUUAAUCAAGAACGAAAGUUAGGGGAUCGAAGACGAUCAGAUACCGUCGUAGUCUUAACCAUAAACUAUG